rnacentral:rRNA from 1 species
UACGUAGGGUGCGAGCGUUGUCCGGAAUUAUUGGGCGUAAAGAGCUCGUAGGCGGUCUGUCGCGUCGGUCGUGAAAACUUGGGGCUUAACCCUGAGCUUGCGGUCGAUACGGGCAUGACUGGAGUUCGGUAGGGGAGACUGGAAUUCCUGGUGUAGCGGUGAAAUGCGCAGAUAUCAGGAGGAACACCGGUGGCGAAGGCGGGUCUCUGGGCCGAAACUGACGCUGAGGAGCGAAAGCGUGGGGAGCGAACAGG